AAUGUUAAUAGGCAAAAUAAAAAAAUAUUCAUGUGCUCAGGGCUACAAUUGGCCCAGUCCUCAAGGUGUUAAAAAUAAUGUUGUGAAUUUCAGUCUUAUAUUUAUUUUAGGGACAUCUUGGAGCUGCAGUUGGCAGUGUUGUUGGAAUGUCAGUUAAAAUAAUUGGGGAAAUUAUUCACAGCACAGGCCUUAUUAAUCCAGCUUUAGACUUGCUGUGUGAUGUGUUAACUGGGGACCUCACCUCCAAGUGUGCGGAAAUGCAAUCCAAUAGCGAUCUUACGUCAAACACUGGCUCCUUG